rnacentral:rRNA from 1 species
UACGGGGGGGGCAAGCGUUGUUCGGAAUUACUGGGCGUAAAGAGCGCGUAGGCGGCGCGGUACGACCGCUGUGAAAGCCCCCAGCUCAACUGGGAGAGGCCAAGGGAAACUGUCGGGCUAGAGUGUGGCAGAGGAAGCUGGAAUUCCCGGUGUAGCGGUGAAAUGCGUAGAUAUCGGGAGGAAUACCUAUGGCGAAAGCAGGCUUCUGGGCCAUCACUGACGCUGAUCUGCGAAAGCUAGGGGAGCAAACAGG